GCACGAGUGGCGAAACUGGCAGACGCAGCGGACUUAAAAUCCGCUGGCCCGAAGGGGCCGUCCGGGUUCGAUCCCCGGCUCGUGCA
rfam:Cystobacter fuscus DSM 2262 contig71, whole genome shotgun sequence.